CCAAUAGCGUAUAUUAAAGUUGUUGCAGUUAAAAAGCUCGUAGUUGAAUUUCGGGGUCAGUAGGUUGGUCAUGCCACUGGUAUGUACUGGUCUCACUGAUUCCUCCUUCCUGAUGAGCCGUAAUGCCAUUAAUUUGGUGUUGCGAGGAAUCUGGACUGUUACUUUGAAAAAAUUAGAGUGUUUAAAGCAGGCUAACGCUUGAAUACAUUAGCAUGGAAUAAUGAAAUAGGACGUUCGAUCUUAUUUUGUUGGUUUCUAAGAUUGACGUAAUGAUUAAUAGGGAUAGUUGGGGCAUUAGUAUUCAAUUGUCAGAGGUGAAAUUCUUGGAUUUAUUGAAGACUAACUACUGCGAAAGCAUUUGCCAAGGAUGUUUUCAUUAAUCAAGAACGAAAGUUAGGGGAUCGAAGACGAUCAGAUACCGUCGUAGUCUUAACCAUAAACUAUGCCGACUAGGGAUCGGAUGAUGUUAAUUUUUUAAUGACUCAUUCGGCGCCUUACG
rnacentral:misc_RNA from 1 species